UCCCUGGUGGUCUAGUGGAUAGGAUUUGGUGCUUUCACCAUGGUAGCCCAGGUUCAAACCCUGGUCUGGGAA
rnacentral:tRNA from 1 species